UCGAUUUGGAGUUUGUUGCCCUGAGUGAUGGGCUCCGAAGCUAACGCGAUAAAUCGACCGCCUGGGGAGUACGGCCGCAAGGUUAAAACUCAAAUGAAUUGACGGGGGCCCGCACAAGCGGUGGAGCAUGUGGUUUAAUUCGAUGCAACGCGAAGAACCUUACCUGGUCUUGACAUCCACAGAGUCUUGCAGAGAUGCGAGAGUGCCUUCGGGAACUGUGAGACAGGUGCUGCAUGGCUGUCGUCAGCUCGUGUUGUGAAAUGUUGGGUUAAGUCCCGCAACGAGCGCAACCCUUAUCCUUUGUUGCCAGCGGUUCGGCCGGGAACUCAAAGGAGACUGCCGUUGAUAAAGCGGAGGAAGGUGGGGACGACGUCAAGUCAUCAUGGCCCUUACGACCAGGGCUACACACGUGCUACAAUGGCGUAUACAAAGGGAGGCGACCUCGCGAGAGCAAGCGGACCUCACAAAGUACGUCUAAGUCCGGAUUGGAGUCUGCAACUCGACUCCAUGAAGUCGGAAUCGCUAGUAAUCGUGAAUCAGAAUGUCACGGUGAAUACGUUCCCGGGCCU
rnacentral:rRNA from 1 species